rnacentral:lncRNA from 1 species
UGGGACUAGGUCUCACCCCACCUGAGGGAUGGUUGCGCUUAAUUAAUAAAUGACAUGCGGCCUCGAUGCCCAACGCCUGUUGUGAACCUUGUGCACUAGUAGUCAAAUCGGUCAGACCUCUCUACUGAAGAGCUUUGGGCACUCAUGUCGUACAUUGCGAUACGACAUUUGGUUUCCUAUGUCUGGCGAAGGGAAGCCGCAUUCUUAGUUCCUUGUGAAGUCUUGUAACGGAAGUGCAGACCACGCUCCAAGCCUGAGUAGCCGUGUAGCGUAUGGCACAGAGCAGCUCAAGAGUUUACAGCAUGGUCCUUAUUAAUCCAUCCUUACGAUCUGUUCUGCCGUUCCAAGCAUAGCACAACAUCCGUAAAUUCAUGCUGGCGCGGCUGGCCAAAGAUAUUCGGCCUGAGAGCCUCUUAGGUCCCCACAGCGUUUCUACGUUCCAACUAGUCUUAAGUAGUGGUCCCCGGGCAUAUAGACUGCCUUGGCUGCGUGCAAGGAGUAGUACGAGGACCAAGGGUUUUUGUACGGUCUUACAGUGCUGUACGCUGUCACAUGGUAUGACGUACAGGGCCAUAGGUUGCCUAAGGCAGGGUAAAGGAAAGCACACCGAAACGAAGUACACAAUCCUGCUAGAAGUGGGAAUGCUCAACCCGUCGAAACCGGAGCGGUCGUAUCCAGGGGUCUGAUCAUAACCAGUCUCGCGAAGUAUGAAGGUCUUCCUGGAAAAGCCAAUCCGGACAAGAGGUAUAGCAUAGCAUGUGAUACAUGUUGCCAAACGGAUAAUUGCUGUCGCAAUGCGACACACAUGUAUGCUUGUGCGUGACAUACGCGCAUAUGCGUGCGUAUGGCAUACACGCCGUGCAUGCGUGUAUGUUUGGGCUGGGUGGCCAUGAUGCUAGUGAUUUAUCUGAAAAAUGCACUACGGAGACGCCUGCAACAAACGCGCUGCAUGAACGGCUGCAGCUAAUAUCAACACAGAUAUAUGCUGGUGUACUAUACACAACAAUCUCAGCAUAAUUACUAGGUUAGAACCUAUUCACAUGGCGGCAGGUUUGGCGUUUAGUCUUCAUAGUUGAAGCGCCGAGACCGUACUGCGUUUGCAUUUCAAUUCGUUUCCUACAAGCUAUCAUAUCCCGACGCCGUCGCUAGCCCAGUAAGCAAUUUAAGUGCCACCGUUCGACGCUGCAAACCACAUUACCCCUUUUACAGGGAAGAUUAGGAAGUACCGUUGCCCUUCGGUCAACGAGAUGGCCAGCACCCGGCUGCUGGUCCUCUGCCUUGCGGCUGCGCUUGUUUGCGUGGCAGCGGCAAAGGCCAAUGUGCGACUUACCGACAAGCUGGUAGAGCUCAUCAAGAAGGUCCGUGGUCCAUCGUGCCGUUAUCUCCGCAGUGAGAAGCGUCUAUACCUCAAUACGGUUUUCGAUCACGUCCUUUUGCAUUUUGUUCAAUGGCUUUGGGCGCUUGCAUAGCAGGAAGUCACCCGGAAACGGUCAUGAUCUUGGCAGCUGCCUGAGUCGAACACCUUGUCUUACACCCAUCGGCGUCUGUGACAAAGUCAAUUUGAAAUCUUAUUGCCCACAGAAACAACUUGAGGGUAUUGUUGAGGAGCUGCAGCGGGAUGGAAUGGAUGUCAACCAACCUGACUCCAAGGGACGGCUUCCCUUAGUUGAAGCCGUGCGGUCAAAGGAACUGAAGUACGUGGACGCCAUGCUGCAGUACGGCGCCUUGGCUAAGUC